AGCUGUUACUUAGUUAAGAAACGAACAAAGAACGAUACAUAGAUGGUUAGCACAGAUUAUAACAAAUAAUCGAUUAGAUAAAGAAAUUGAAUGAACGAAAUUGUUAAAAGUUCUAUUUCUUCCAUAUUAUGUCAUCUAUGACAGUGUCCGAGUGUCGUGAAUUUGACAGAUAACGCUCAUUUUGUAUGUUUUAUAGCGGGAAUUUCUAUCUAAAUAAUUUUUUAUCUUUCAUUUUUAAUAGUAGUAUUUAUAGUGUAUUUAUUAGUUUUAUUCAGUGAUGGACACCCCCGAGCAAGCCAAUAAAAGAAUACGAUCCACCAAUUGCAGUGAUAUAGAGAAGUUUUAAUGCUGUCAAUUCUACUAAGCGGGAUAUGACACAGCUUCUCAUCCAAUGGAAGAACAUGAAAAAUAAAGCAAAGAAGUCGGAGUUUUCUUUCAGGAGAGCAAAAAACAUGACUGAUGGAGGACCUCCCCCACCUAGGCCACCUCCUGAAGACCAGGAACUCAUCGACGCAAAUUCACCACAAGUUCUCAAUUGACUCAAACUGUCGUGAUAGUGACAGCAUUUAUAUUAAACAGCCACAAUAAAUUGAUGAUCCCAGCCCAGCUCUAUUUAGUUCGGCAGCCCAGGCCAGUAGUCAGGCCUCAUUUCCCAUACAUGACAGGCCAGGUCCUUCAGGAUCGGCUCCAGCAAAAAAAAAACGAAAAACAAAUAAAUUAAAGUCGGACUGCUGUAAGACCAAUCAAUGAGCAUGAAAUUUAUAUGAUGGCAAGGAAAGCGAGGGAGGAAGCCAUGCUUCGCGAUAAAGAAGCGCACGAAUGUAAGAUGAUGUAUGAAAGAGAGCUGCAUGAAAGAAGAAUGACAUUAAUGGCUUUGGAAGAGGAUUAUUGGAAAAUUAAAAUAAGAAAAUUAAAAGAAAAUGAGUGAGUUUUAUUGUAAACAUUUUAUUGAGUUUUAGUGUGAUUAUUGUAUUCUUAUUAAAUUGUCAUCUAUACAAAUAAAUAAAACUGGAGUGUCUGGUUUUAAUAUUAAAAUAAUUGGAAAAUUAA